rnacentral:rRNA from 1 species
CAGUAGCCGCGGUAAUACGUAGGGUGCGAGCGUUAAUCGGAAUUACUGGGCGUAAAGCGUGCGCAGGCGGUUGUGUAAGACAGGUGUGAAAUCCCCGGGCUUAACCUGGGAACUGCGCUUGUGACUGCACAGCUAGAGUAUGGCAGAGGGGGGUGGAAUUCCACGUGUAGCAGUGAAAUGCGUAGAGAUGUGGAGGAACACCGAUGGCGAAGGCAGCCCCUGGGCUAAUACUGACGCUCAUGCGCGAAAGCGUGGGGAGCAAACAGGAUUAGAUACCCCCGUAGUCCCUGUCUCUUAUACA